UACGUAGGUGGCGAGCGUUGUCCGGAUUUACUGGGCGUAAAGAGCGCGCAGGCGGUCGUGCAAGUCGCGUGUGAAAGCCCCCCGGCUCAACUGGGGAGGGUCACGCGAUACUGCUCGACUUGAAGGCAGGAGAGGGAAGUGGAAUUCCGGUGUAGUGGUGAAAUGCGUAGAUAUCGGGAGGAACACCAGUGGCGAAGGCGACUUCCUGGCCUGUUCUUGACGCUGAGGCGCGAAAGCUAGGGUAGCAAACGGG
rnacentral:rRNA from 1 species